GGUAAGAUGGCUGAGUUAAGCGAUGGAUUGUAGCUCCACGCACAGAGGUUUAAGUCCUCUUCUUAUCA
rnacentral:tRNA from 1 species